GCAGUGGUAGCUCAGUGGUUAGGACGUUGGUCUACUGAUCGGAAGGUCAUGAGUUCAGGCCCCAGCACCAUCA